AGAGUUUGAUCCUGGCUCAGGACGAACGCUGGCGGCGUGCUUAACACAUGCAAGUCGAACGGAAAGGCCCUUCGGGGUACUCGAGUGGCGAACGGGUGAGUAACACGUGGGUGAUCUGCCCUGCACUCUGGGAUAAGCCUGGGAAACUGGGUCUAAUACCGGAUAGGACCACACACUUCAUGGUGAGUGGUGCAAAGCUUUUGCGGUGUGGGAUGAGCCCGCGGCCUAUCAGCUUGUUGGUGGGGUAAUGGCCCACCAAGGCGACGACGGGUAGCCGGCCUGAGAGGGUGACCGGCCACACUGGGACUGAGAUACGGCCCAGACUCCUACGGGAGGCAGCAGUAGGGAAUAUUGCACAAUGGGCGCAAGCCUGAUGCAGCGACGCCGCGUGAGGGAUGACGGCCUUCGGGUUGUAAACCUCUUUCAGUAGGGACGAAGCGAAAGUGACGGUACCUACAGAAGAAGGACCGGCCAACUACGUGCCAGCAGCCGCGGUAAUACGUAGGGUCCGAGCGUUGUCCGGAAUUACUGGGCGUAAAGAGCUCGUAGGUGGUUUGUCGCGUUGUUCGUGAAAACUCACAGCUUAACUGUGGGCGUGCGGGCGAUACGGGCAGACUUGAGUACUGCAGGGGAGACUGGAAUUCCUGGUGUAGCGGUGGAAUGCGCAGAUAUCAGGAGGAACACCGGUGGCGAAGGCGGGUCUCUGGGCAGUAACUGACGCUGAGGAGCGAAAGCGUGGGGAGCGAACAGGAUUAGAUACCCUGGUAGUCC
rnacentral:rRNA from 1 species